CUUGAAGUAGCUCAAUUGAUUAAAGCGCGUGGCUUACAAAGCACAAAGUCCAAGGUUCAAGCCUUGCUUUCAACA